CCACAAGUCUCCUCAUGCAUACAUCUUCUGGCAAACAAAAGGGGAUUAUCGAUAUCAUCGUCCUACUCAAAUUACCAGUUCUAGCACAUCACCUUCUUUGUUAGGUGCUCAAGCAUUCCACUCUUGCCAGGAUCUUUCCUUUAUGAAUUGUCGCAAGCCUAUUGGUUGAUUUUGGCUGGUUUUGUUGCAUAAAAAUCCUUCUAUUUUUCCUACCCUUCUCUUGUCACUCAUGCA
rnacentral:lncRNA from 1 species